GAUGUAAGGAUCAGAAGCGUUCGUAGCAACCAAAUUAAAUAGAAGUGGAAUAACAGAAUUACCUAAUUCAGCAGCCUUUGCACAAUCAAGUUUUACCGCAGAAGAAAUAGCUUCCACAAGUAAUACAAGAGCUUCAUCGCUUGACUUCGAAGCAUACUGAGAAAGAACUUCCAAAAUCAUCGGCUGCAAAGAAAGUAUCGGUUUGACUUUUCCGACUGAACAAAAGCGCUCAAUAGCUUUCAU